rnacentral:lncRNA from 1 species
AUCAAAUAAAAGACUCUUAUCAUUUAAUAAAGUAUCAACUAAAGCAAGGGUGGCAAAGCAUCUAUUCCUCCAAAUAAGAAACUUUGUAAAUAACUCAUCUCAUGUACAAACUCAAAUAUAAAAUUUAAAUCAAUCACAAUAGAUUUUUAAUCAAUUGCUUGCAACCAUUUUCUAUUUAUUCUUCUCUAUGUGCUUUGUC